rnacentral:rRNA from 1 species
UUUUUAACCUAAGGGUUUUUUUUCGGUUUUUAAGGUUUUAGGUAAAGGGGUUAGGGGUAAUUAGGACGUUUGGGGUCGUUGCGGCUUUUCUUUAUGAAAGUCGGCUCCUCUUAAAUGCAUUAGCGGAAAACCUUUGUGGACCGUCUUUUGGUGUGAUAAUUAUCUACGCCAUUGCCGCGAAGCAGUUCAUUUUACAAUGGGGACUUUCAGCUUCAAACCGUCCCAGAUGGGACUACACUUCAUUGACAUUUUGACCUCAAAUCAGGUAGGACUACCCGCUGAACUUAAGCAUAUCAAUAAGCGGAGGA